CAGCACCUCAAGUGGUCAGGAUGAUUAUUGGGCCUAAAGCAUCCGUAGCCUGUUCUGUAAGUUUCCGGUUAAAUCCAUUAGCUCAACUAAUGGGCCGCCGAAAAUACUGCAUAACUAGGAAGUGGGAGAGGUAGACGGUACUCGGUAGGAAGGGGUAAAAUCCUUUGAUCUAUUGAUGACCACCUGUGGCGAAGGCGGUCUACCAGAACACGUUCGACGGUGAGGGAUGAAAGCUGGGGGAGCAAACCGGAUUAGAUACCCGAGUAGUCC
rnacentral:rRNA from 1 species